UGAGGAAUUUUGCGCAAUGGGCGAAAGCCUGACGCAGCGACGCCGCGUGGAGGAAGACAGCCUUCGGGUUGUAAACUCCUGUCAGAGGUGAAGAACGCCCGCAAGGGCUUGACGGUAACCUCAGAGGAAGCCCCGGCUAACUACGUGCCAGCAGCCGCGGUAAUACGUAGGGGGCGAGCGUUGCUCGGAAUUACUGGGCGUAAAGGGAGUGCAGGCGGCCGGUUAAGUCGAAGAUGAAAUCCCGAGGCUCAACUUCGGAACGGUCUUCGAUACUGAUCGGCUUGAGGCUGAUUGAGGAGAGCGGAAUGCCCGGUGGAGCGGUGAAAUGCGUAGAUAUCGGGAGGAAGACCAGAGGCGAAGGCGGCUCUCUAAACUAGUCCUGACGCUGAGACUCGAAAGCUAGGGGAGCAAACGG
rnacentral:rRNA from 1 species